GUGCACCAGGCGAGAAAACUUUACAAUGUGCGAAAGCACGAUAAGGGAACUCUGAGUGCCUCCUAAGGAGGCUGUUCUGAUGUCUAAAAAGCAACAGAAGUAAGGGCUGGGUAAGACCGGUGCCAGCCGCCGCGGUAACACCGGCAGCCCAAGUGGUAGCCACGUUUAUUGGGUCUAAAGCGUUCGUAGCCGGCCAGGUAAGUUCCUUGGUAAAUUUAGCCGCUUAACGGUUAAGCUUUCAGGGAAUACUGCUUGGCUUGGGACUGGGAGAGGUCAGAGGUACUCCGGGGGUAGGGGUGAAAUCUAUUAAUCCCUGGGGGACCACCGGUAGCGAAGGCGUCUGACCAGACCAGGUCCGACGGUGAGGGACGAAGGCUAGGGGCGCGAACCGGAUUAGAUACCCCCGUAGU
rnacentral:rRNA from 1 species